rnacentral:misc_RNA from 1 species
CGGGUGUUGACCACGGAGGCAAACUCAACCAUGGCAGCUGUACUGAAACUGUGUGUGGUCCUCAUCUGUCUUGGACUGGUGGAGUCAUUCGUCUGGGUCUGCCACUGUGUUGAGUGCAAAAUAACGGAGCGUGUCUCGAGGAAAGAACCAAUAUGGAAAUAUACAAAGUAUUCUCAAAGAUAUACCACAAUUUGUGGCUUUUUGGGAUGGGGAAGGUGUGCCAGAUACCGCUAUAUGAGGUUUAAGGAGAAGUCUUAUUGGCCCUGUGUAUUAUACGUAGCAUACGAUGUUACGACUGGUUAAACGUUUGAGGCGGCCUUCACAUAUACCAGUCUGGUGUUGUCCACGGAGGCAAAACAUCCAUGGCAGCUGUACUGAAACUGUGCGUGGUCCUCAUCUGUCUUGGACUGGUGGAGUCACUCGUCGGGGACUGCUUCUGUGACAAGUGCAAAGUAACGGAGCGUGUCUCGUUCAAGAAACCAAUAUGGAAAUAUACAACGUAUUCUCAAAGAUAUACCACAAGUUGUGGCUUUUGGAGAUUGGAAAGGUGUAACAGAUACCGAACCGGCUAUAGGAGAACUUGCACUGGCUAUGCCAUUGGUUACAAGAAUGUCGUGUCUUGUCGACCCGGUUGCACGUGUUCAGGGCCUUAAGGCAAACCCCAACUCCGUGACGGAUCCCAAAUGGUUAACUGAAUUUUCUGGAAUCAAAGCCAUACCGAACCAGAUCGUGAAUACACCCUGCCUUGUCCUGUCACCAACAUUCUCUACAAGAUCAACAUCAAAGUUGUAGUGCAGUAUAGAAUUUUAGAAAAUAUUUAUACAUAUAAUGAUAAAAUGGUCGUAAAGACAAUGAUUUUGUGAAAGUUAUUCCAAAGCGUUCAGACCAGAGAAACAAUUUACAACAUAGAUGUACAGACACCCAAAGUAGAAGACAUGACAUGUCAAUAUUUUUAUUUUAAGUGUUUAAACAUAUUAUUUUUCUAGUUUUCUAUUAAAAGACUGCAGUGUCAGGUU